rnacentral:rRNA from 1 species
CCUACGGGAGGCUGCAGUGAGGAAUAUUGGUCAAUGGACGAGAGUCUGAACCAGCCAAGUAGCGUGAAGGAUGACUGCCCUAUGGGUUGUAAACUUCUUUUAUAAAGGAAUAAAACGAGGCACGUGUGCCUUUUUGCAUGUACUUUAUGAAUAAGGAUCGGCUAACUCCGUGCCAGCAGCCGCGGUAAUACGGAGGAUCCGAGCGUUAUCCGGAUUUAUUGGGUUUAAAGGGAGCGUAGAUGGGUUGUUAAGUCAGUUGUGAAAGUUUGCGGCACAACCGUAAAAUUGAAAUUGAUACUGGCAGUCGUGAGUACAGUUGAGGUAGGCGGAAUUCGUGGUGUAGCGGUGAAAUGCUUAGAUAUCACGAAGAACCCCGAUUGCGAAGGCAGCUUACUAAACUGUGACUGACAUUGAUGCUCGAAAGUGUGGGUAUCAAACAGGAUUAGAUACCCGAGUAGUC